rnacentral:lncRNA from 10 species
GAGAGCUGAAAGACUGGGGUGUGUGUGUGUGUGUGUGUGUGUGUGUGCGCGCACGUAGCUUCUCAUUUCGUCUGGAGGUCUCUCUCAGCAGAGUGGCUACAAACUUUAGCCCUGCCCUGAUGAGAUUCCUGGGCAUUUGGUCACGGAUGUUGACAGUGUGCCUUUUACUAACGACUUCAUUCUGGCAGACAGCCUACUGCCUAAAUGUCCAACCUGUGACCAGGCCUCCCUUCCACAAGAAGCUUGUUGAUACUGGCAGACACCCUGUGGCUCUUGCCUGACCUGUGUGCAGUUUAUUCCUACCAGGAUGGCCGAUCUCUAGGAGAGUCUUGACGGAGAAAGAAGCUGGGUUCAGAUGCAGCUGGAGAGCCUGGGGUGAGAACAUGAGCAGUCUAUAAUCAGAAAAUCCCUUUGGGAUAAAUUGACAAAAAUAUAAACCACUCCACAAAGGAGAAAUUGUAAAUGGUAAACAAAAGAACGUGACACCCUGAAUUGGAUGAAGAAAUAUCUUGUCUGGAAGAGAAACUGAAAACAGGAAUACUCAGAAAGACUGAAAAUAAGAGGAUGGAGAAAAUAUGUCAAGCAUUUUCUAAAAUUCAACGAGUGCUGACAGACAGGUGUCAACACCGCAACAGAGCUGGGUCAAGGUCGGACGUAUAAUAGAACAGCAGCAGCAGCAGAGGUAGGAGGAAGGAUGUAGCAGCAGCCGAAGGAGACACCGUGAGGCCAGGUCAGGGGCCCAGGAGCCUCCGCGUGGACAGCUUCAGCUCCAUCCAAGCUGCCGGAUUGGAGGGCGCCUGCCCCCAGCAGCAGGUGGCCUUAAAGAUUCAGCUCUGAGAAACAAAUGUGGAGGGGGUUUGUGGAGGGAUUAUUGUGGGGUGCGUGGGGCCCUCUGAGGUGAUCUGCUGCAGAAUAACUAAUACCUAUUGUAACAGAGGAGUAUAGAUUUAUAAAAUACAUGACAAAUGCUUAAUAAAAAAGAAAAAAGUGAAAUGAAAAAUGAAGAUCAGAGUGGUAGACAAAGGAAGAAAGGGGGAAGAGGAAGGGAGGAGGGAGGAGGAAAAUGAAGACAAGAAUAGGUUAUAAAUAAAGAUAAAAUGUGUCAAAUGAAUUUAAAAAGAAUGUAUUAUAAUCUGUACUUAAUUUCUUGCUCAAUCAUCGGAAAGUGCCCAUUUCAUGCCCUGUACAGUUACCAUAAUUCCUUUUUUCUCCACAUUCAUUUUUGUUCUAUUAUAUUUGUAGAAAUGUAAUCUUUCAUGUUUAAAGUUCAAUAAUGAAAGUACCGUCUUGUAAAAAAAAACAAAAAUAAAAAUCAAUAAAAAAUAAAAAUAAAAUAAGUAAAACGCA